CUACGGGUGGCACCAGUGAGGAAUAUUGCACAAUGGGGGGAACCCUGAUGCAGCAACGCCGCGUGGAGGAUGACGCAUUUCGGUGUGUAAACUCCUUUUAUAUGUCAAGAAAAUGACGGUAGCAUAUGAAUAAGCACCGGCUAACUCCGUGCCAGCAGCCGCGGUAAUACGGAGGGUGCAAGCGUUACUCGGAAUCACUGGGCGUAAAGAACGCGUAGGCGGGUUGGAAAGUCAGGUGUGAAAUCCUACAGCUUAACUGUAGAACUGCACUUGAAACUUCUAAUCUAGAGUAUGGGAGGGGGAGAUGGAAUUAGUGGUGUAGGAGUAAAAUCCGUAGAUAUCACUAGGAAUACCUAAAGCGAAGGCGAUCUCCUGGAACAUUACUGACGCUAAGGCGUGAAAGCGUGGGGAGCAAACAGGAUUAGAUACCCGCGUAGUC
rnacentral:rRNA from 1 species